UUGGGAUCGAAAUGAUCUCAACCGAUUCUCAAACUUUAAAUGGGUGUGUUCCUCAACUUGCUAGAGUGAAGUUGGGGUUUGAUCAUGUUUAAAAACGAUGUGCCAAGUGGGCCAAUUUUGGUAAGCAGAACUGGCGCUGUGGGAUGAACCAAACGCCGAGUUAAGGUGCCAAAAUCAACGCUCAUGAGAUACCAUGAAAGGCGUUGGUUGCUAAAGACAGCAGGACGGUGGCCAUGGAAGUCGGAAUC
rnacentral:rRNA from 13 species